UAAAAAUAGUAAUAAGUGGUAGUAAAUAGCAGAGAUGUAAAAAGUACACAUAUCCUUCACUCAAGUAGAAGUACAGAUACUCAUGUUUAAAAAUACUCUGGUAAAAUAAAAAGUAACCAUUACUACUACCUGUUUUAGUGUCACACUGGUAAUGGGACCUCACGUCAUAUAAAUA